rnacentral:rRNA from 1 species
GGUUAAGCGACUAAGCGUACACGGUGGAUGCCCUGGCAGUCAGAGGCGAUGAAGGGCGUGCUAAUCUGCGAUAAGCGCCGGUAAGGUGAUAUGAACCGUUAUAACCGGCGAUACCCGAAUGGGGAAACCCAGUGUGAUUCGUCACACUAUCAUUAACUGAAUCCAUAGGUUAAUGAGGCGAACCGGGGGAACUGAAACAUCUAAGUACCCCGAGGAAAAGAAAUCAACCGAGAUUCCCCCAGUAGCGGCGAGCGAACGGGGAGGAGCCCAGAGCCUGAAUCAGCAUGUGUGUUAGUGGAAGCGUCUGGAAAGGCGCGCGAUACAGGGUGACAGCCCCGUACACAAAAGCGCAUGUGCUGUGAGCUCGAUGAGUAGGGCGGGACACGUGGUAUCCUGUCUGAAUAUGGGGGGACCAUCCUCCAAGGCUAAAUACUCCUGACUGACCGAUAGUGAACCAGUACCGUGAGGGAAAGGCGAAAAGAACCCCGGCGAGGGGAGUGAAAAAGAACCUGAAACCGUGUACGUACAAGCAGUGGGAGCACAGGUUUACCUGUGUGACUGCGUACCUUUUGUAUAAUGGGUCAGCGACUUAUAUUCUGUAGCAAGGUUAACCGAAUAGGGGAGCCGGAGGGAAACCGAGUCUUAACCGGGCGUUAAGUUGCAGGGUAUAGACCCGAAACCCGGUGAUCUAGCCAUGGGCAGGUUGAAGGUUGGGUAACACUAACUGGAGGACCGAACCGACUAAUGUUGAAAAAUUAGCGGAUGACCUGUGGCUGGGGGUGAAAGGCCAAUCAAACCGGGAGAUAGCUGGUUCUCCCCGAAAGCUAUUUAGGUAGCGCCUCGUGAAUUCAUCUCCGGGGGUAGAGCACUGUUUCGGCUAGGGGGCCAUCCCGGCUUACCAACCCGAUGCAAACUGCGAAUACCGGAGAAUGUUAUCACGGGAGACACACGGCGGGUGCUAACGUCCGUCGUGAAGAGGGAAACAACCCAGACCGCCAGCUAAGGUCCCAAAGUCAUGGUUAAGUGGGAAACGAUGUGGGAAGGCCCAGACAGCCAGGAUGUUGGCUUAGAAGCAGCCAUCAUUUAAAGAAAGCGUAAUAGCUCACUGGUCGAGUCGGCCUGCGCGGAAGAUGUAACGGGGCUAAACCAUGCACCGAAGCUGCGGCAGCGACGCUUAUGCGUUGUUGGGUAGGGGAGCGUUCUGUAAGCCUGUGAAGGUGUGUCGUGAGGCAUGCUGGAGGUAUCAGAAGUGCGAAUGCUGACAUAAGUAACGAUAAAGCGGGUGAAAAGCCCGCUCGCCGGAAGACCAAGGGUUCCUGUCCAACGUUAAUCGGGGCAGGGUGAGUCGACCCCUAAGGCGAGGCCGAAAGGCGUAGUCGAUGGGAAACGGGUUAAUAUUCCCGUACUUGGUGUUACUGCGAAGGGGGGACGGAGAAGGCUAUGUUGGCCGGGCGACGGUUGUCCCGGUUUAAGCGUGUAGGUGUGUGUUCCAGGUAAAUCCGGUUCACUUUAACACUGAGGCGUGAUGACGAGGCACUACGGUGCUGAAGUAACAAAUGCCCUGCUUCCAGGAAAAGCCUCUAAGCAUCAGGUAACAUCAAAUCGUACCCCAAACCGACACAGGUGGUCAGGUAGAGAAUACCAAGGCGCUUGAGAGAACUCGGGUGAAGGAACUAGGCAAAAUGGUGCCGUAACUUCGGGAGAAGGCACGCUGACACGUAGGUGAAGUGAUUUACUCAUGGAGCUGAAGUCAGUCGAAGAUACCAGCUGGCUGCAACUGUUUAUUAAAAACACAGCACUGUGCAAACACGAAAGUGGACGUAUACGGUGUGACGCCUGCCCGGUGCCGGAAGGUUAAUUGAUGGGGUCAGCGCAAGCGAAGCUCCUGAUCGAAGCCCCGGUAAACGGCGGCCGUAACUAUAACGGUCCUAAGGUAGCGAAAUUCCUUGUCGGGUAAGUUCCGACCUGCACGAAUGGCGUAAUGAUGGCCAGGCUGUCUCCACCCGAGACUCAGUGAAAUUGAACUCGCUGUGAAGAUGCAGUGUACCCGCGGCAAGACGGAAAGACCCCGUGAACCUUUACUAUAGCUUGACACUGAACAUUGAGCCUUGAUGUGUAGGAUAGGUGGGAGGCUUUGAAGCGUGGACGCCAGUCUGCGUGGAGCCGACCUUGAAAUACCACCCUUUAAUGUUUGAUGUUCUAACGUGGACCCGUGAUCCGGGUUGCGGACAGUGUCUGGUGGGUAGUUUGACUGGGGCGGUCUCCUCCUAAAGAGUAACGGAGGAGCACGAAGGUUGGCUAAUCCUGGUCGGACAUCAGGAGGUUAGUGCAAUGGCAUAAGCCAGCUUGACUGCGAGCGUGACGGCGCGAGCAGGUGCGAAAGCAGGUCAUAGUGAUCCGGUGGUUCUGAAUGGAAGGGCCAUCGCUCAACGGAUAAAAGGUACUCCGGGGAUAACAGGCUGAUACCGCCCAAGAGUUCAUAUCGACGGCGGUGUUUGGCACCUCGAUGUCGGCUCAUCACAUCCUGGGGCUGAAGUAGGUCCCAAGGGUAUGGCUGUUCGCCAUUUAAAGUGGUACGCGAGCUGGGUUUAGAACGUCGUGAGACAGUUCGGUCCCUAUCUGCCGUGGGCGCUGGAGAACUGAGGGGGGCUGCUCCUAGUACGAGAGGACCGGAGUGGACGCAUCACUGGUGUUCGGGUUGUCAUGCCAAUGGCACUGCCCGGUAGCUAAAUGCGGAAGAGAUAAGUGCUGAAAGCAUCUAAGCACGAAACUUGCCCCGAGAUGAGUUCUCCCUGAGACUUAGAGUCUCCUGAAGGAACGUUGAAGACGACGACGUUGAUAGGCCGGGUGUGUAAGCGCAGCGAUGCGUUGAGCUAACCGGUACUAAUGAACCGUGAGGCUUAACCUU